rnacentral:rRNA from 1 species
UGGGGAAUAUUGGACAAUGGGCGCAAGCCUGAUCCAGCAAUGCCGCGUGUGUGAAGAAGGCCUUCGGGUUGUAAAGCACUUUUAUCAGGAGCGAAACGCUGUCGGCUAAUACCCGGCGGAACUGACGGUACCUGAGGAAUAAGCACCGGCUAACUUCGUGCCAGCAGCCGCGGUAAUACGAAGGGUGCAAGCGUUAAUCGGAAUUACUGGGCGUAAAGCGUGCGUAGGCGGUUUCUUAAGUCUGCUGUGAAAUCCCCGGGCUCAACCUGGGAAUGGCAGUGGAUACUGGGAGGCUAGAGUGUGUCAGAGGGUGGUGGAAUUCCCGGUGUAGCGGUGAGAUGCGUAGAGAUCGGGAGGAACAUCAGUGGCGAAGGCGGCCACCUGGGACAACACUGACGCUGAGGCACGAAAGCGUGGGGGAGCAAACAGGAUUAGAUACCCUGGUAGUCCACGCCCUAAACGAUGCGAACUGGAUGUUGGUCUCAACUCGGAGAUCAGUGUCGAGGCUAACGCGUUAAGUUUCGCCGCCCUGGGGAGUACGGUCGCAAGACUGAAACUCAAAUGAAUUGACGGGGUCAUAGCUGUUUCCU